CCGAGCACCGCCACGUAGGCUGCGGGCGGCGCCGGCCGGCCCUGCCCCGCGCCUUCCGGCCGGCGAGCCCUGCGGCCGCCCGGCCGCGCCCGCCGCCCGCCCGGCGGCCUGCCCGGCGCUUCUGAGGGGUUUUGGUUCCCGGGACGUGUCCCAUAUGUCAUGAGAUUUUGAGGGCGAUAUUGUCUUAGUGCUUAGCAAAGUACUCAACGUCAAAUAUUUGAGUGAAUAAUUUAUAUUCUAGCAGUAGGAAUGUGAUAUAGGCCAGCGGUCUUAGCACCCAUUUUAAAAAUAGUAACUUAUGGUAGUUUUGCCUAUAGGUAUUUACUAUAUUAGAAAUGAAAACUGAGACAUUUAAAAUAUUUUGCAUAGAAGAACACAAUUGGACUUUCCUAUCCCCUUUGCCUUCAGUUUAUUGCCAUAUAUUUUGAUUGAAUUACAUGAAGAAAAAUCUGAUAAGUGGUUGGAAAGGGGAGGAGUAUUUUAAUAGGUUUUUAAGUAAUUGUGGCUAUUUUUUGUUACUACACCCAAAAGAGGUUACUGCUAGUUUCUUAAAGAUUAGUUUGGAUGUGAAAUCUGAAGUCUUACAAAUGAACUUUUCACAUGUGAUACAUUCAUUGUUCUAUCCGGCAGUUUAAAUGAGCUUGUUACCCAUUGUAACAUCUUAUGUUUAUCAUUUGGAAAAUACUGAUUCACCAAGUUAAGGCAGAUCUUCGAAAUUGCUGACACAUUUCAUUAUACAAUAUCACCGCUGAUUUCCCAUAAGUAUUGUGAAACAGUCAGGCUCAAAGUGGUGGAUACAAGUUUUCCAACAUUCUAAUUUUCAGUUGAAAUCUUGAUUUUACUAUUGGUAGACAACUAUUAUCAAUUGUUUUCCUCAAAGUGACAGGCUCAUUUUGUUCAGUUUCAAGAAAUGUCUACAAACCAUGGUUUGUCAUGUUAUUGUUUCUAGUAAAAAUGUAUCAUGAAAAAAGCAUUUAAUUUAUGUUCUAUUAACAUAUGCUUUUCCUCGAGAAAGCUGAUUUAUCUUGGUGUGCAGCAGAAGUGCUUUAUGCAUACCUCUUUUUAAAAAUCUUUUUAAAAAAUUGAUUUCAGAGAGAAGAGAGACAGAAAAGAAAACAUCCAUGUGGGGAAAAAACAUCUAUCAUUUGCCCCCAACUGGGGAUCAAACCACAACCUGAGCAUGUGCCCUGACUGAGAAUUGAACCCACCACCUUUUGGUGCUCCAACCAACUGAGCCACAAUGGCCAGGAUAUGCAUACCUUUUUUUCAAGUGACAAAAAUGAAAGUCAAGAUCAAGAUUUAUAACAUUCAUAAUUUAUACUGCUUCAUCAAGGAUGUUUUUUCUUCAUUAAAAUGUAUUAAAUAAA